UACGUAGGGGGCAAGCGUUGUCCGGAUUUAUUGGGCGUAAAGCGCUCGCAGGUGGUCCGCUGCGUCGUGCGUGAAAGACCCCGGCUCAACUGGGGAGUGUCGUGCGAUACGGGCGAACUGGAGGCCAGUAGGGGGAUGCGGAAUUCCGGGGUGUAGUGGUGGAAUGCGUAGAGAUCCGGAGGAACACCAGCGGCGAAGGCGGCAUCCUGGACUGGUCCUGACACUCAUGAGCGAAAGCGUGGGGAGCGAUCCGG
rnacentral:rRNA from 1 species